GAAAAACUUGGACUUGGACCUCUCUCAUUUGAGCCCACAAAGCCAUGAAAAUCAGGUUAUAAAAGAGGGAGAUCAGACAGAAAAAGGAAGAGAAGCAAAAAUACUCUGAGGUUUCCUUGAAACAAAACCCUUGACAAAACCUGGAGAGAAACCUGACAGAGAACUCAGAGCAACCCCCAGGCAGCUCUGAAAAAUUCAAUCUGACUCACACACUUUCAUCUCACGCAAACCCUAACAUUGCCUUGC
rnacentral:lncRNA from 1 species